CAGGUUCAGUAUACGCAAGGUGAAGCCCACCAAGCAAUGCCGUCUCUCCUCCAGCCAGACCGGCACCUCUCUGGAACAGCCGGACCUGAACUCCAACCUCAGCUUACUUUCUCUGAUUGAGGAUGGUGAAGAAGGAGAAGAGGCUGAGAUUGAUGAUUAUGAGAGUGGCUCCGAUCAUGAAUCUGAAUUUUCACUGCCCUCCACGCGCCACACCUCUGCCAGCGUCCUCGAUGAGCUCUUUGACUGAGGACAUGGAGACCUGUACCGUCGGGGGAACAACCGUUGUUUUUCGUUAAAGUAUCUCUUCAACACUACUGCGUUUUCUCAGUACAUUUCAGUGUACUAUGUAUUUGGGGCAUCUGUUCUCCUACAUGACCACUUACCAAGUUCAUCUAUCAGAUUUAUUUCAGUUACUAAUUUUGUUGGAGGGGAAAAGGAAAAACUAAAUGAUGAGUUUUGGGGGGAAAAGUUUAUGCCAUUUCACCAAAAGGAAAGUUUAUGUUUUGAAAGAAAAUGUUUAAAGGAGUGUUCAUGUUCAGUUAGAUUCUUGUUGGUUGAUUCUUGUCUGGCAGCAAGUUAAAAGUAUCUCCUGUGUCCCACUUUUUGAAGUUAGGUUCAUAACGUAUUUCACUGUUGUCGACUGGUUUUUUCGUGUCUAACGUUUGUUUAUAUAAUUAUUAUUAAAAUAUCCUUUAUUGAGCAAACAGGGUUUUAAUGAGAUCACAAGAAAAGAUGUGUAAAAACGGAUGAGAUGUGAUGCACAUGCAUGCGUUUAGAGAAUGCACAAUACAUCAACACCUUUUAAACAAGUUCAAAUAUGUGAUGGUAUGUAUUAC